rnacentral:rRNA from 1 species
CAGCCGUAAACUAUGCGCGUUAGGUGUAUCGGUGACCACGAGUUACCGAGGUGCCGAAGGGAAACCGUGAAACGUGCCGCCUGGGAAGUACGGUCGCAAGGCUGGAACUUAAAGGAAUUGGCGGGGGGAGGCACCACAACAGGUGGAGCCUGCGGUUUAAUUGGACUCAACGCCGGGAAGCUCACCGGAUAAGACAGCAGAAUGAUUGCCGGGCUGAAGACCCUGCAUGACUAGCUGAGAGGAGGUGCAUGGCGUAGACGUCU